rnacentral:rRNA from 1 species
UACAGAGGGGGCAAGCGUUGUUCGGAAUUACUGGGCGUAAAGGGCUCGUAGGCGGCCAACUAAGUCGGACGUGAAAUCCCUCAGCUUAACUGGGGAACUGCGUCCGAUACUGGAUGGCUUGGAUUUGGGAGAGGGAUGCGGAAUUCCAGGUGUAGCGGUGAAAUGACGUAGAUAUCUGGAGGAACACCGGUGGCGAAGGCGGCAUCCUGGACCAAUAUUGACGCUGAGGAGCGAAAGCCAGGGGAGCAAAGCGGGG